GGCGGUGCUGAGAUGCCCGUC
rnacentral:misc_RNA from 1 species